UACGUAGGGGGCAAGCGUUGUCCGGAAUCAUUGGGCGUAAAGCGCGCGUAGGCGGCCAGAUAAGUCCGGUGUGAAAGUCACAGGCUCAACCUGUGAAUGCCGCUGGAAACUGUCUGGCUUGAGUCCGGAAGGGGCGAGUGGAAUUCCUGGUGUAGCGGUGAAAUGCGCAGAUAUCAGGAGGAACACCGGUGGCGAAGGCGGGACUCUGGGCCGAUACUGACGCUGAGGAGCGAAAGCGUGGGGAGCGAACAGG
rnacentral:rRNA from 1 species